UUUUUNGGGGGGGGAGGCACCAGUGGGGAAUAUUGCACAAUGGGGGAAACCNUGAUGCAGCCAUGCCGCGUGUGUGAAGAAGGCCUUCGGGUUGUAAAGCACUUUCAGUAGGGAGGAAAGGGUGUAGNUUAAUACGNUAUAUCUGUGACGUUACCUACAGAAGAAGGACCGGCUAACUCCGUGCCAGCAGCCGCGGUAAUACGGAGGGUCCGAGCGUUAAUCGGAAUUACUGGGCGUAAAGCGUGCGCAGGCGGUUUGUUAAGCGAGAUGUGAAAGCCCUGGGCUCAACCUAGGAAUAGCAUUUCGAACUGGCGAACUAGAGUCUUGUAGAGGGGGGUAGAAUUCCAGGUGUAGCGGUGAAAUGCGUAGAGAUCUGGAGGAAUACCGGUGGCGAAGGCGGCCCCCUGGACAAAGACUGACGCUCAUGCACGAAAGCGUGGGGAGCAAACAGGAUUAGAUACCCUGGUAGUCCACGCCGUAAACGAUGUCUACUCGGAGUUUGGUGUCUUGAACACUGGGCUCUCAAGCUAACGCAUUAAGUAGACCGCCUGGGGAGUACGGCCGCAAGGUUAAAACUCAAAUGAAUUGACGGGGGCCCGCACAAGCGGUGGAGCAUGUGGUUUAAUUCGAUGCAACGCGAAGAACCUUACCUACUCUUGACAUCCACGGAAUUCGCUAGAGAUAGCUUAGUGCCUUCGGGAACCGUGAGACAGGUGCUGCAUGGCUGUCGUCAGCU
rnacentral:rRNA from 1 species